rnacentral:snoRNA from 1 species
GGGUGGGAACAACUUGUUCCCACCCCAAAAAAUUUUGUUUGGGUAUAAAGGGGGGGGAUAACCCCCUUAUCCCCCCUUUAUACCCGAGCCAAAAGC